rnacentral:rRNA from 1 species
UACGUAGGGUGCGAGCGUUGUCCGGAUUUAUUGGGCGUAAAGGGUGCGUAGCGGUGCCGUAAGUCGGAUGUGAAAUCCCGGGGCUAACCCCGGAACUGCAUUCGAUACUGCGGUGCUCGAGGACUGGAGAGGAGAUUGGAAUUCACGGUGUAGCAGUGAAAUGCGUAGAUAUCGUGAGGAAGACCAGUGGCGAAGGCGGAUCUCUGGACAGUUCCUGACGCUGAGGCACGAAGGCCAGGGGAGCAAACGGG